rnacentral:rRNA from 1 species
UAUCGUAUGUUGUAUUUUUCAUGCGAGACUGCCGGGCCAACCGGGAGGAAGGUGGGGAUGACGUCAGGUCGNGAUGGCCCUUACGCCUCGGGCCACACACGUCCUACAAUGGCCGGUACAACGCGUUGCCAACCCGCGAGGGGGAGCUAAUCGCACCAAAACCGGUCCAGUUCGGAUUGGAGGCUGCAACUCGCCUCCAUGAAGUCGGAUUUGCUAGUAAACGUGGGUCAGCACACCACGUUGAAUACGUUC